AUGUUGUUCAGGAAAACUUGGUACCCCUCAACCUCUGGCACAUCUGUUGUGGGUUCUCGUAUUGAUGGUGGCGUCAUGGUAGCAGCUGACUCACUUGGAUCAUACGGCUCCCUUGCAAGGUUUAGGGAUAUCAAGAGAGUGUUCAAGGUGACAGACAAAGCUGUGCUUGCCUGUGGUGGAGACAUUGCAAUUAUCAGUUCAUCAGAGAAGUCAUUGAGCAGAAAGUCUGAGAGUACAACAGAUAUUGUUCAUGACAAAGAUCUAGCUAAUGAGAACCAGUGGCGUGAUGAUGAGUGUGAGAGUACACACGAGUGCUGGAUGCAGGAGCCUUGCACUGCUGAGCCUACUGUAAAUGCAUGUAUGGUAUUACAGCUUCCUGGUUAUGUUGACAAGAUUGGAACAGCCUUUGAGGCCAAAGAAGUUGCAUCUGGCUUUGGUGUUCAUCUAGCCAUCCCCAUGAUCAGAGAGGCGGAGGGAGAAGAAACCAACUUUAACCAGGGAGGAUGCAGAGAAGCUCCUGAAAGAGUGUCUUACUGUGCUGUAUUACCGUGACUGCCGUGCACACUACAAGUAUCAGCUAGCAGACAUCACACCUGAAGGUGUUACCAUCCAUGACAACCUUAACCUCAAACCAGAGACUAACUGGACCAUUGCACAUCAUAUCAAGGGAUACGAGUAAUCUGUUGUGGAAUUCCGGUUCGCAGGCACGUAUAUUCUUGCAGUGAAUCUUAAUUUUUCUACAUGUCUGCUAUUUAUCAUAUAGACAUGUAAAUCACCAGUGGAUGUAUGUUUUUUCCUUUGUAUUUUCAUAUUCUCAAUUUCACAAUGCAUCUCUCAAUAAGAAUGUUUGUGGAUAUGUUACAAAUAUUCCUAUGUUUUGAGUUUUUAACAGAAUGUGAUGCCUAACAAAGUAAAGAAAAUAAAAACAGGAGUAUGUAAACUUUAAUAGAUAAAAGAUUUAAAAAUA